rnacentral:rRNA from 1 species
GACGAACGCUGGCGGCGUGCUUAACACAUGCAAGUCGAACGGAAAGGCCCUGCUUUUGUGGGGUGCUCGAGUGGCGAACGGGUGAGUAACACGUGAGUAACCUGCCCUUGACUUUGGGAUAACUUCAGGAAACUGGGGCUAAUACCGGAUAGGAGCUCCUGCUGCAUGGUGGGGGUUGGAAAGUUUCGGCGGUUGGGGAUGGACUCGCGGCUUAUCAGCUUGUUGGUGGGGUAGUGGCUUACCAAGGCUUUGACGGGUAGCCGGCCUGAGAGGGUGACCGGCCACAUUGGGUCUGAGAUACGGCCCAGACUCCUACGGGAGGCAGCAGUAGGGAAUAUUGCACAAUGGGCGGAAGCCUGAUGCAGCAACGCCGCGUGCGGGAUGACGGCCUUCGGGUUGUAACCCGCUUUCGCCUGUGACGAAGCGUGAGUGACGGUAAUGUUUAAAGAAGCACCGGCUAACUACGUG